AAUCAACGCUGGCGGCGUGCCUAACACAUGCAAGUCGCGCGCGAAUAGGGGGCAACCCCUUACGUAGAGCGGCGAACGGGUAGAGUAACACGUGGGUAAGUCUACCUUCGAGUGGGGAACGAACAUCGGGAACGUAGGUGCUAAUUCCGCAUGACAUCGUCGGGGCGUUCGGUCCUGACGAUCAAAGACCGGGGAGUCGCAAGACCUGGCGCUUGAAGAUGAGCCCG
rnacentral:rRNA from 1 species